UACGGAAGGCAGCACUGGGGAAUAUUGCACAAUGGGCGACAACGCCUGAUGCAGCCAUGCCGCGUGUAUGAAGAAGGUCCGUUCGGGUUGUAAAGUACUUUCAGGUCGUAAGAAGGAAGGUGUUAAGGUUAUAACCUUAGCAAAUUGACGUUAGCGACAGAAGAAGCACCGGCUAACUCCGGUAGCCAGGCAGCCGCGGUAAAUCGAAGGGUGCGAGCGUUAAAUCGGAAUUACUGGGCGUUUAAAAGGGCACGCAGGCGGUUAAAUUAACGUUGGAUGUGAAAAUCCCCGGGCUAACCUGGGAAAUGGCAUUCAAGACUGGUUAGCUAGAGUCUUGUAGAGGGGGUAGAAUUCCAAUGUGUAGCGGUGAAAUGCGUAAGAGAUGUGGAGGAAUACCGUGC
rnacentral:rRNA from 1 species